UACGUAGGGGGCAAGCGUUGUCCGGAAUCAUUGGGCGUAAAGAGCGCGUAGGCGGCCCAGUAAGUCCGCUCUGAAAGUCAGGGGCUCAACCCCUGGAUGCGGGUGGAUACUGCUGGGCUAGAGUCCGGAAGAGGUGAGUGGAAUUCCUGGUGUAGCGGUGAAAUGCGCAGAUAUCAGGAGGAACACCGAUGGCGAAGGCGCUCUGCUAGGCCGCAACUGACACUGAGGGACGAAAGCUAGGGGAGCGAAUGGG
rnacentral:rRNA from 1 species